AGAGUUUGAUCAUGGCUCAGAUUGAACGCUGGCGGCAUGCCUUACACAUGCAAGUCGAACGGUAACGCGGGGCAACCUGGCGACGAGUGGCGAACGGGUGAGUAAUACAUCGGAACGUGCCCAGUAGUGGGGGAUAGCCCGGCGAAAGCCGGAUUAAUACCGCAUACGUCCUACGGGAGAAAGCGGGGGAUCUUCGGACCUCGCGCCAUUAGAUGAGCCUAGGUCGGAUUAGCUAGUUGGUGAGGUAAUGGCUCACCAAGGCGACGAUCCGUAACUGGUCUGAGAGGAUGAUCAGUCACACUGGAACUGAGACACGGUCCAGACUCCUACGGGAGGCAGCAGUGGGGAAUAUUGGACAAUGGGCGAAAGCCUGAUCCAGCCAUGCCGCGUGUGUGAAGAAGGUCUUCGGAUUGUAAAGCACUUUAAGUUGGGAGGAAGGGUAGUAACCUAAUACGUUGCUACUUUGACGUUACCGACAGAAUAAGCACCGGCUAACUUCGUGCCAGCAGCCGCGGUAAUACGAAGGGUGCAAGCGUUAAUCGGAAUUACUGGGCGUAAAGCGCGCGUAGGUGGUUCAGUAAGUUGGAAGUGAAAUCCCCGGGCUCAACCUGGGAACUGCUUUCAAAACUGCUGAGCUAGAGUACGGUAGAGGGUGGUGGAAUUUCCUGUGUAGCGGUGAAAUGCGUAGAUAUAGGAAGGAACACCAGUGGCGAAGGCGACCACCUGGACUGAUACUGACACUGAGGUGCGAAAGCGUGGGGAGCAAACAGGAUUAGAUACCCUGGUAGUCC
rnacentral:rRNA from 1 species